rnacentral:rRNA from 1 species
UGGGGAAUAUUGGACAAUGGGCGAAAGCCUGAUCCAGCCAUGCCGCGUGUGUGAAGAAGGUCUUCGGAUUGUAAAGCACUUUAAGUUGGGAGGAAGGGCAGUAAGCGAAUACCUUGCUGUUUUGACGUUACCGACAGAAUAAGCACCGGCUAACUCUGUGCCAGCAGCCGCGGUAAUACAGAGGGUGCAAGCGUUAAUCGGAAUUACUGGGCGUAAAGCGCGCGUAGGUGGUUCGUUAAGUUGAAUGUGAAAGCCCCGGGCUCAACCUGGGAACUGCAUCCAAGACUGGCGAGCUAGAGUAGGGCAGAGGGUGGUGGAAUUUCCUGUGUAGCGGGGAAAUGCGUAGAUAUAGGAAAGAACACCAGUGGCGAAGGCGACCACCUGGGCUCAUACUGACACUGAGGUGCGAAAGCGUGGGGAGCAAACAGG